rnacentral:tRNA from 1 species
GGAAGUGUAGCUCAGUGGCAGUAGAGCACUUGCUUAAUAUGCAUGAGGCCCAGGGUUCAAUCCUCAGUACCA